CAGCAGCCACGGGAAUACGUAGGUGGCAAGCGUUGUCCGGAAUUAUUGGGCGUAAAGGGCUCGCAGGCGGUUUCUUAAGUCUGAUGUGAAAGCCCCCGGCUCAACCGGGGAGGGUCAUUGGAGACUGGGAAACUUGAGUGCAGAAGAGGAGAGUGGAAUUCCACGUGUAGCGGUGAAAUGCGUAGAGAUGUGGAGGAACACCAGUGGCGAAGGCGACUCUCUGGUCUGUAACUGACGCUGAGGGGCGAAAGCGUGGGGAGCGAACAGGAUUAGAUACCCCAGUAGUCCCUGUCUCUUAUAC
rnacentral:rRNA from 1 species